CUAUAGUGCACAAUCCAGAAUGGAUGUCCUCUUUGUAGCCAUCCUUGCUGUGCCACUUAUCCUGGGACAAGAGUAUGAGAAUGAAGAAAUACUGGAAGAGGAUGAUUAUUAUCAGGUGAUCUACUACUACACUGUCACCCCCAAUUACGAUGACCUUGGUGCAAAUUUCACCGUUGAUUACUCCGUGUUUGAGUCAGAGGACAGGCUGAACAGGUUGGAUAAGGACGUAACGGAAGCAGUAGAGACUAACAUUAAUCUUGAGACAGAACGUCAAGACCAUCUGAAGCCUGUAACAAGGAAACCAGUGACUAUGGAACCAUCUAGUCGAAUCUUCUCCAAGGGACAAAUGAAGAAACUGAAGCUGGAAAAAGCCAUAUUCUAGGAGACUGAAGACCUACCCCUCUACGUUACCAGUACUCGGAAUCAGAGAAUUUAGGGCUCAGAGUUCGAAGAGCCCCUAUAGAAAAGCCGGGAACAACCAAGUUCGGCUUUGACCUCCAGAAUCGUGGCAGGCACCAGUCGCUGAUGGGUUCCACGUGCUGCACUCGUGAGCGGAGGAGCUCACAGAAAAGGCUGAGGCUACAGAGGCGGAGCCGGGGUCGGGUGGGGGGGGUCCAGGUCCCGAGGCGCACCCCUGGAGUUGUACAUCCAGUCUCUGCGCACUUAAGCCGCGGGUCUCCCGCGCUUCACCAUCCUUUUUAAGGUCACGGGCUCCGCCCUCUUCCUCUUCUCCCUUAUUUUCCACUCUUUUUUCUUCCCCCUCAUUUCAACACCGGGUCCUCUCCCGGAGUCUCAUGUAGGGGCGGAGCACGGAA